AUGGGCAGGCAUGCUCCCACACCGGGACAGGCCAGCUGCUAUAUCCAGAUUUGGUUUAAAUACCAUUUUUUCUACAGGGUUGACAAGUUCAGGUCAAGUUCAAGUCAGCACCACGGGCUAUGGGCUCAUCCUCCCAAAUCCUGCCCCGAACCAGUGGUAGGUUCAAAUGGGAGAUGCCCUGGGAUGGCUUUGGUGGAACUCAGAACCCCACUUCCCAAGAACUCAUUUUUGUGGCAGUCAGGAGGAUCGUUUCUUUCAAGAUGCCUCUUUUUGGGCUGUGUGCCUGCAUUGGAUCUGAGUUCUGGAACAUCCUGGAUCCACCAGGAUCCCCUCUGCGUAGCGUCAAACAUUUGCCAGGCAAAAAACAGCCCUCCCUGCAGCGCUGGAGAUGGCCGGGGAACAUCUGCAAGUGGGUGUUUUUACACCAUAAAACCCUGCCAAGGCAGCAGUGAAAGUUUAACCCCAAGCUGGGGAGCUCCCCACAUGUCCCCCCAUGGAGCUGUGACCCCUUCGUGGUGCUCCUCUAUGGUGAGGACCCACACCUGGCAGUCCCAGCGCCGCGGGUCCCUGCUCACGCAGGCAGCAUCACUCACACCGGUGUUUGUCUCCGCCAAGCUCCCCCUGAUCUCUGCACAAACGCGAUGUCCUGCAGCCAGGGGACACCGGCACUGGCUGCAUCCAGGCACCGGGCACCCCAACCAGUGGGAAACGCAUGCAUGCAGCACCCCAGCUCAUGGAAACGCCCUGGGGAGCUGUGUCCUCUUCUUACUUUCAUCAAUCUAAAUGUUAAGGGCUUUUUCUUCUUUUUGCUUCCCUUGGUUCAGCUGAAAGCCCUUUGUCACGUUGCUGCCACAGCGCUGCUGGGAGCAAACAGGGCCAGCACUCCCCUUCCUCGUUUGCCACGCUGAUGUUUUACUCGCUUGGAUUCAUUGAGGCUCUGCCAGGAAGGUGCUCAGCAUUUUACAAGCCCCACAAGAGUCCAUCUGCCUGGAGAUCUGAUUCAGGACAGCUUCACGCAUGGACUGGCAUAAAACCAAACUUUUCUGGUUUCAGUGUAGCUGUUUGGAAAGGGAUUAAGCAGUAAUAAGCAGCUGUUUUGGAGAAUAAUGAUGAGAGCACAGGGUCUGCACCAUGCUCAGCACAGCAAAACUGCGCGGGGAGAUGGGCCCUAAAGCACGGUGAGGAAGGAAAGGAAAACAUCCUCCAGCUGCAAGGAGGAUGAGGAUGGGGACACUGGUGGUUUGGGUUGGUUUGGGUGUUUUGGUGUUGGGUUUGGUUUUUUGCACCACAAGGGGAUUUCAGUGGAAGUAUUUAGGAAAAGUGGGGGGUAAGGGUGGGGGGAAUAGGAAAAAAGAAAAAAAAAAAAGGAAGAAGGAAAAAAAAGAAAAUGGAAAAAAAAGAAAAUGGAAAAAAAAAGGAAGAAGAGGGAAAGGGAAGAAGAGGGAAAAGGAAGAAGAGGGAAAGGGAAGAAGAGGGAAAAGGAAGAAGAGGGAAAGGGGGAAAAGUAAAAAGGAAAAAAGGAAAAGGGGAAAAAGGAUAAAAGAAAAAAUGAAAACAGAAAAAGGAAAAAAGGGGUAAAGGAAAAAAGGGAUAAAGGAAAAAAGGGAUGAAGGAAAAGGGGAAAAAAAGGAAAGGGGAAAAAAGGAAAAGGGGAAAAAAGGAAAAGGGGAAAAAAGGAAAAGGGGAAAAAAAGAACAGGAAAAAAGAAAAGGAAAAAGGAAAAAAAGAAAAGGAAAAAAGAAAAGGAAAAAAAAAGAAAAGGGAAAAAAAGAAAAGGAAAAAAAUGAUAAGGGAAAGAAAAGGAAAAAGGAAAAAGGGGAAAAAAAGGAAAAGGGGAAAAAAAGGAAAAGGGGAAAAAAGGAAAAGGGGAAAAAAGGAAAAGGAAAAAUAAGGGAAUAAAAAAGAAAAGGAAAAAAAAAAAGGAAAAAUU
ensembl:lncRNA